UGUGUAAUUAUAAAAGAAAGAGGUUUAAUUGACUCACAGUUCUGCAGAUUUAACAGGAAGCAUGGCUAGGAGGCCUCAGGAAACUUACAAUCAUGGCGGAAGGCGAAGGGAAAGCAGACACCUUCUUCAUGGGCAGCAGGAGGGCGUGUGUGCGAGAAUGAGGAAGUGCCGCGCUUUAAAACCAUCACCUCUCGCGAGAACUCACUAUCACGACAAGAACGUGAGGGAAUCCGACCCCGUGAUCCAAUCACCUCCCGCCUGUCCAGUCCUACGUGUCCCUCCCCUGACAUGUGGGAAUUACAAUUCAAGAUGAGAUUUGGGUGGGGAAACAGAGCCAAAUCUUAUCAGAAAGAGCGGCUCAGAGAGGUGAGAUGACCUACUCAAGUUCCAGGAGUGGGAGUGAUGGGACUUGCCACGGAUUCCCUCUGUGUAAAUCUGUGACAGCCCUGAUGUAAAUCAGACAUGGCCUCUCCCUCUGGGAGCAGCCAGUCUACUUGGUGAAAAACAAGGGAUGAAAGGGGACACAGCAGGUGACUUAAGUGCUAUGGUUGGAAUGUUUAUGUUUCCCCGGAAUUCUUUUUUUUUUUUUUUUUUUUGAGACAGAGUCUUGCUCUGUCGCCCAGGCUGGAGUGCAGUGGCGUGAUCUUGGCUCACUGGAAGCUCCGCCUCCCAGGUUCACGCCAUUCUCCUGCCUCAGCCUCCCGAGUAGCUGGGACUACAGGUGCCUGCCACCAUGCCCGGUUAAUUUUUUUGUAUUUUUAGUAGAGACGGGGUUUCACUGUGUUAGCCAGGAUGGUCUCUAUCUCCUGACCUCGUGAUCUGCCCGCCUCAGCCUCCCAAAGUGCUGGGAUUACAGGCGUGAGUCACCACACCCGGCCCCCCGGAAUUCUUACGUUGAAAUCCUAGCCCUGAAGGUGACGUGGUGAUGAUGUGAUGAUGGCAGAACCCUCACCAAUGGAAUCUGGGCCGCUGUAAAAGAGGCCGUGGGAGCUUGCUUGCCCCUCCCACCAUGCAGUGACACAGCAAGAAGGCAGUGAGGAAUGGGCCCUCGCCAGACACCAAACCUGCUGGGACCUUGACCUUAGACUUCCCAGCCUCCAGAACUUUCAGAAAUGUUUGUAAGACACCCAGUUUAUGGUAUUUUUGUUACAGCAGCCUGAACAGACUAAAACACUAGCAGGGCAAGGCUGCUGUAACAGUAGACAAACCCCAGAAGCUGAAAAAUCAUAAAAGUUUUUGUCUAUAUUGUUCUGUCCAUAAUUUUUUUUAAAAGCAUAAAAGUUUAUUUUGUCUUCCUCAGUAGUCUGAACUGAGUAUUCCAGGUUGGUCCCCGGGCUGCUCUGCUCCGUGCAGGAACUCAGGAAUCCUCGUUUCUCUGCCUUCCUCUAGGCCAGCGGUUCUCUGCUAGGGUGAAUUUUCCCACCAGGGUAUGUUUGGCAACGUCUGGAGAGUGAUCCUCAUCCACUCCCGUCCAUCCAUGAGGGCCUAGUCACAGGGCCACAUCUAACUUCAGGGGACGGAGUGCUGGGAAAUGGAGUCUAGGUGAGUGCCCAGGAGGAAGGGAACAGCCGACUCAGGUGGGCAGCUGGCAGCUUCCCCGACAGGCGUCCUAACUGGUGCAAGAGACAUGCAGGAUGGAGGUGGUUGGAGGACAUUUCGGUAACUAGGUCAGAGCUUGUGCAAAAUGCAGAGACAAGAGAGAGCCUGACAAAGCGCAGGCACUGCCACCUGGAUGGAGGCUGACAGUGGGAGGGAGGGAUCAGUGAGCAGCAGGCGGGUGGCAGGAGCCUGAAAUGCAGGACUGAGGAGUCUAGUCUUCGUCCUGAAGGCAGGGAAGGACCUUUGGCCAGUCUCCUGACGUUCUGCCCCGGCUCUUUCCUCCCUGAAGGUGAGUCCCUCGUGUCCAUCUUACAUAGUUGGGACCUUGCUGACACACACUUCUGCCUGCCUUUAGGCCGUUUCCUUGAUUUUCUAUGUUGCCAAGAUGACUGGCAGCUGCUGGAGGUCAGGACCACAGCCUGGUUCUCAGAGCCCCAGGCACCAAGUUCCCACCCACCCUUGCAAACUCUCCUUUUUUUUU
rnacentral:lncRNA from 1 species